GAUCCUGGCUCAGGAUGAACGCUAGCUACAGGCUUAACACAUGCAAGUCGAGGGGAAACGACAUCGAAAGCUUGCUUUUGAUGGGCGUCGACCGGCGCACUGGUGAGUAACGCGUAUCCAACCUGCCCACCACUUGGGGAUAACCUUGCGAAAGUAAGACUAAUACCCAAUGAUAUCUCUAGAAGACAUCUGAAAGGGAUUAAAGAUUUAUCGGUGAUGGAUGGGGGAUGCGUCUGUAUUA
rnacentral:rRNA from 1 species